rnacentral:misc_RNA from 1 species
CAGCUUCUUACGCCCCGCUACGCAAGGCAUCUUCUGAGGGCCGCACAGGUGCCGUCUUCAGCGGCGGAUUAUCCGUGUUGACCCACUUCUCCCCUGUCACGCGCACCACACUCCCUUGCAAGGAUGUCCAAGAUCAAUGCGACGUACAGCUCCGGCUACUACAUCGCCCCUGAUGUAGACUUUCGAAAGCUUGAGGAACAGCAGCGUCAGGAGCAGCGCGGCAAGCGCAAGCACGGAGGUGCCGACCACGGCGGUGACGACAAUGUCAAGCGACAGACGUUUGCCAUUCCGUUCGAUCUAAUCUGCGAGCACUGCCACCGACGCAUCGCUCGCGGCAGUCACGUCUACGCCAAUCGACGGGCCACCGACAAGCGCUACCUCGACAGCAUCCGCAUCUGGGAGCUGGAGAUAUUGUGCCGCUUCUGCAAGGGCAAGUAUUACCUGCGCACCGACCCGGAGACCCCCAAGGACACGGGCGGCUACAUUUGCGAGAAGGGCUGCAAGCGAGUCGAGGGCGACUUCUACUCCCUCAACAAGCAGAACCAAGCGGCGCGGGAGGAAUGGGAGAAGGCGAAGGCGGAGGCAGAGCUGAACCCGCUGGCGGCGCUGGAGAGAGAAAACGAAGCGGCCCGCGAACUGGAGGAGCGCAACCGCCAGAUCGAAGAGGCAGUGGAGGAGCGCGCCGGACACGAUGAUGGGAACCUGCUCACAAUGCUGCGCAGCCGCCCCCGCCGCACCGAGGUGCGCGCAGCUGCGCUCGACGACGACGGCGACGAGGACGCGGAUGACAGCGGCAAGCCGGGCACGGCACCGAGUUCUACAAGUGCGGAGCCAGCAUCGUCACCGCCGUCAUCAUCGUCAACCGCUUUCCCCUUACCAAAAGCCUUCACGCUUGGCGGCGACGGCGACGAGAGCGGCGACGAGGACGAGGAGGACGCCGAUGAGCGCGCUUUCCGAGAAUUCAACGAGGACAUGGAGCGACGCUGGCGUACCCUGGAGCGCCAGCAGCGCGCGCGGCAGCGGCAACAGGAGCAGCAGAGCAUUGUAGCCGAGACGACGAUGCCCGCUGAUGAGGAUGAGCUGAGGCGUGUGCUGGCGCGCUACGGCGGCGAUCGCCGUGCCACAGCGGAGGCAGUGACAACCACGCUGGUGCAGGCGCAGGAGCCGAAUGUACUCCAGGCCCCCGCUAGCGCAUCGUGCCCAACACCCAUGACCACAUCGGCACCAGCCGUUGCACCCAAGAAGAGCAGCAUCAAGCAAAACAAGUUCUUCGUUUGCAAUAAUGACAAUGAUGACGACAUCGACGACGCAGAUGCUGAAGAGUCGCUACUCGCCCGCCUGCGUGGACCUCCACCGCCGAAGCCAGCCUUUGUUAGCGCGGCUCGUGCCACCAGCGCCGUCUCCAUCACCGCAGGAGCGACGCCGUGUGCGCAGCCUGCCUCUCGCUUCGCAACUCCGGCUGGCGCCUCACAGCCACCCCCGCCGCCACGGAAAUGCGGCAGCUCUCUUCUGCGCCGACUCGUUGACGAUGAGGAUGACGAGGAUGGAGCUGACUGAGCGGGGGAGUUGCUGCGCACGCUCCUGCACUACAUGCGCCGCCCUGUAAAAUCUUUUUUUUUUCGCCUUUCUUUCCUUUUCUCGACGGCCGCAUCGGCGCAGUCCUUGUGCUCGUGCACAUGGCAGGCGUGUCGGCGAGGCGGCUGAGUGGCGGGGGGGGGAGGUGAGGAGCACGCAGCUGCUGCCUCUGACCCUUGCCUUUGCUGCUUCGGCGAAGAUGAAAGGUUCUCAACACGUAUGCACGCAGGCGUGCGUUUUCUGCGCCAUCUUUGCUAGCUCAAGGAUGGAGCUCACAC